rnacentral:tRNA from 1 species
CCAGUGGUGGCUCAGAGGUUAGAGCAUCUGCCUGGAAUGCGGGAGACCUGGGUUCUAUCCCUGGGUCUGGA